rnacentral:rRNA from 1 species
UACGGAGGAUCCAAGCGUUAUCCGGAUUUACUGGGCGUAAAGGGCGCGUAGGCGGAUUUUUAAGUCAGGGGUGAAAUCCCAAGGCUCAACCUUGGAACUGCCUUUGAUACUGGGGAUCUUGAGUCCGGGAGAGGUGAGUGGAACUGCGAGUGUAGAGGUGAAAUUCGUAGAUAUUCGCAAGAACACCAGUGGCGAAGGCGGCUCACUGGCCCGGAACUGACGCUGAGGCGCGAAAGCGUGGGGAGCAAACAGG